UAUCUUCACAUCGAUUUUGGUGAAUUUCAUAUUUUCUGUAUGAAAUGUGAGGGAAUCCGGUGAAAAUCCGGAACAAUGCCCGUUGCUGUAAUCUCUUUCCAUAUUGUUGGAAAUAUCUACUCACCUUAUGCCACUGGAGAUUGUCCGGGAAGGCGAGGUAGACGGAGAAAGUCAGAAAACCUGCCGGAAUCGGACAAUCUUU
rnacentral:ncRNA from 2 species